UCCUGCAAAGAGACAUGACCCAUCAGUAUGUGGACCUGGCAGGCACCUGCACCUCUGAAAAUAACUAAGAAAUUCCACAUAUAGAGGAAUGGAAGAAGCCCUGAUUUGGUGAUGGUUCACUUCAACCUCAGCUCAAAGAUGAAACAAAGCAUCUGCUCGUGCCAGUGGGGGUUCAGAGAACCACACCAAGAACAUCACCCAGUUUAAGUGGCCUGAAGGAUUUAUUUGCAGCAAGUUUCUUUCAGAAUUUGGCAGCCAGCGGUACUCAGCCCCUUCUGGAAGGUUCCACUCCAGCCUCUCCUCUGCAGUGGCACCUUUUGUGAUCUGGAGACAGAAAACAAGAGAUCAGAGUGAGAGCUUGCAGGAAAAAAAAAGGAAAAUAAUAACAGUUGAAGCUGCCAGCAAACCAGAAUACACUCUAAAGACAUAAAAUAUUCUAUGGCAGAAUUCAGAAAGCAGCUUUAUGGAACAGGAUAAUAAAGACUUAAAGGAAGAAGACAGCAGGAGUGUUUUGCUCAGAUAAAUCUGGAGCAGUUUGACACCUGGGCUCUGCAGAAGGACAGUGAUCUCA